rnacentral:rRNA from 1 species
UACAGAGGUCUCAAGCGUUGUUCGGAUUCAUUGGGCGUAAAGGGUGCGUAGGUGGCGGGGUAAGUCUGGUGUGAAAUCUCGGGGCUCAACCCCGAAACUGCACUGGAUACUGCCUUGCUCGAGUACUGGAGAGGAGAUUGGAAUUUACGGUGUAGCGGUGAAAUGCGUAGAUAUCGUAAGGAAGACCAGUGGCGAAGGCGGGUCUCUGGACAGUUCCUGACGCUGAGGCACGAAGGUCAGGGGAGCAAACGGG